AUUGAACGCUGGCGGCAGGCCUAACACAUGCAAGUCGAACGAGUGGCGGACGGGUGAGUAAUGUCUGGGAAACUGCCUGCUGGAGGGGGAUAACUACUGGCAACGGUAGAUAAUACCGACUAACAACGGGUGUGCCCAGAUGGGAUUAGCUAGUAGGUGGGGUAAAGGCUCACCUAGGCGACGAUCCCUCGCUGGUCUGAGAGGAUGACGAACCACACGGGAACGGAGACACGGACCAAACCCGUACGGGAGGCAGCAGUGGGGAAUAUUGGACAGUGAGCGCAAGCCAGAUGCAGCCAAUGCGGGUGUAUGAAGAAGGCCUUCGGGUUGUAAAGUACUUUCAGCGGGGAGGCGGUACCCGCAGAAGAAGCACCGGCUAACUCCGUGCCAGCAGCCGCGGUAAUUC
rnacentral:rRNA from 1 species